rnacentral:lncRNA from 1 species
CUCCUACCUCCCGGCAGCCUCUCCAGGCCCAGAACUUUCUCCAGUCAGCCUCUACAGACCAAGCUCAUGACUCUCAAUGGCCUAUUUAGGCCCAUACCCUACGUCACGGCAGCCUCCGCAGAUGAGGCUACUGCCUCACAACAGCCUCCACAGGCACAGCUCCAUCGUUACAAUGGCCUCUUUAGACCCAGCUCCUGCCUCCCAGCCUUCUCUCCAGGCCCUGAACUUUCUCAGUAAGUUCAGCCUCUCCAGGCCCAGAACUUUCUCCAGUCAGCCUCUACAGACCAAGCUCAUGACUCACAAUGGCCUAUUUAGGCCCAUACCCUACGUCACGGCAGCCUCCGCAGAUGAGGCUACUGCCUCACAACAGCCUCCACAGGCACAGCUCCAUCGUUACAAUGGCCUCUUUAGACCCAGCUCCUGCCUCCCAGCCUUCUCUCCAGUGGCCUCUUCAGGCCCAUGGGGCUCAUUCCUGACAACGGCCUUUCCAGGCCCAGUUUUUCCCUUCCGGCGGCCUCUCCGGGCCCAGAACCUCCUCAAGUCAGCCUCUCCAGACCCACUUGCACCCUCCGGGCGUUCUCUCCGGGCCCAGCUCUUCUUCCUGGUUGGGUCUCCAGGCCCGAUUCCUGCCUCUCAACAACCUCUUUGGACUCAGUGCCUACCCAUCUCCUGGCGGCCUUGGUCGGCCCACAGCUUCCUCAAGCCAAGCUCCCCAGGCCCAGGUCAGGCCUCACGGUGGCCUCUCCAGGAUGAGCUCCUGCCCUCCGAUGGCAUCUCCAGGCCCCAAAUGGUCUCCGGUCGGUGGGCUCCUCCACGCCAAGGUUGGGCCUCCCGGCGACUGCCGCAGGCCCAAGUUGUCCUGAAGUCGGGCUCUCCCGGCCCUGCCUCCCAGCAACUUGGGCCUCCCGGCGGCCUCCGCAGGCCCAAAUCGUCCCGAAGUCAGUCUCUCCAGGCUUAGCUCCAGCCUCCCGGCGGCCUCUGCAGGCCCAAGUCGUCCUCAAGUCGGCCUGGAAGUGGGCCUGGAAGAGCAGCAAGUCGGCCUCCCUGGGCCCAGCUCCGUCCUCUCGACGGCCUCUCCAGGUGCAAAACUUCCUCGAGUCAGCCUCUCCAGGCCCAGCUCCUCCUGCCUCCCAGUGGCCUCUUUCAGCCCAGCCCAGCUCAUGGCUCUCGGCGGCCUUCGCAGGCCCUGCUUUUGACUUUUGGCAGCCUCUUCAGGCGCAGAACUUGAUCUCCAGUCGGCCUUUGCAGGCCCGGCCUCCUGCCUCUCGAAGGCCUGCACGGGCCCGGCCUCGGCCUCGGCCUCACAGCGGACUCUCCACGCCCAGCUAGCUCUCGCCUCACUGCGGCCUCCCCAGUCCAAAGCUCCUGCCUUUCGGCCACUUCGGCAGGUCCAGCUCCUGCCUGCCAGUGGCCUCUUUAGGCCCAGCUCAUUCCUCACGUCGGCCAUUCCAGGCCCCGUUUUUCCCUUCCGGCAGCCU